UGAGGGGUCGAGAGCGAGAGAAGGAAGACGCUCUCUGCGAGCCAGAGAGAGCGUCUUAUGACCAAGUGACGGACGGAAUGAACAUUCAACGUUGUCCUUUUUGUAAUUGUGACGUUGUGUUUGUUUGCCCGAAGUGGGAAUAAACAGGAGUUCGCUCCGUUUCACCUAAGAACUGUGUCCCGACUCCUGUGAACCCGUUACAGUGGAGCCCAACGUAGUAGGAGUCGAUUAUGGAACAAUCGCCAUUGGCCAGUGUCCUCGGACACCUGGCACAAACAGCAGAGCGUCAGACCCAGCUACAGCAGGGUCUGACGGGGGGUGACCGAGGUCUCAGAGUGGCCGCCGUAGGAGUGGGCCCACCGUCUCCUGCCGGCAGCCCAGAAGGACUUUGACACCGUCGCAAGGGCUAUCUGGGGACCGUUUGGGCCUAAACCCGGAGGAACAUCGCCGCCGGUUCCGGGCCCUGGCCUUCACCGACGGCGACCGGCCCUUCACCUACGCCCAGCAGCUGUGGGACCAGGCGAGGAGGUGGAGGCGGUGCAGCAGCCCUGCAGCGGGACAGGCCAACCCUGGGGCCGAGGGCGAGAUGGGGGGGGGUCCCAGUCAGGAGCAGGCACAUAUUGCACCUUCCCACCCCAUCCCGCAGACGGGCACUCAGACGGCAGGGGAGGCGUGUUGGCGUGAGGGGUUGAGAGAGAGAAGGAAGACGCUCUCUGCGAGCCAGAGAGAGCGUCGUAUGACCAAGGGACG
ensembl:lncRNA